rnacentral:rRNA from 1 species
GACGAACGCUGGCGGCGUGCUUAACACAUGCAAGUCGAACGGAAAGGCCCUGCUUUUGUGGGGUGCUCGAGUGGCGAACGGGUGAGUAACACGUGAGUAACCUGCCCUUGACUUUGGGAUAACUUCAGGAAACUGGGGCUAAUACCGGAUAGGAGCUCCUGCUGCAUGGGGGGGGUUGGAAAGUUUCGGCGGUUGGGGAUGGACUCGCGGCUUAUCAGCUUGUUGGUGGGGUAGUGGCUUACCAAGGCUUUGACGGGUAGCCGGCCUGAGAGGGUGACCGGCCACCUUGGGACUGCGAUACGGCCCAGACUCCUACGGGAGGCAGCAGUGGGGAAUAUUGCACAAUGGGCGGAAGCCUGAUGCAGCAACGCCGCGUGCGGGAUGACGGCCUUCGGGUUGUAAACCGCUUUCGCCUGUGACGAAGCGUGAGUGACGGUACUGGGUAAAGAAGCACCGGCUAACUACGUG